rnacentral:rRNA from 1 species
CCUACCUUUAAGUGGGGGACAACCAGCCGAAAGGCUGGCUAAUACCGCAUGACAUCACGUUGACUUCGGUUGAUGUGAUCAAAGCCUGGGAUCUUCGGACCAGGUGCUUGAAGAGGGGCUCGCGUCAGAUUAGCUAGUUGGUGGGGUAAUGGCUCACCAAGGCGACGAUCUGUAGCCGGCCUGAGAGGGUGAUCGGCCACACUGGAACUGAGACACGGUCCAG